rnacentral:rRNA from 1 species
CCUACGGGUGGCAGCAGUGGGGAAUAUUGGACAAUGGGGGGAACCCUGAUCCAGCCAUGCCGCGUGUGUGAAGAAGGCCUUUUGGUUGUAAAGCACUUUAAGCGGGGAGGAGGCUCUUCUAGUUAAUACCUAGGAUGAGUGGACGUUACCCGCAGAAUAAGCACCGGCUAACUCUGUGCCAGCAGCCGCGGUAAUACAGAGGGUGCGAGCGUUAAUCGGAUUUACUGGGCGUAAAGCGUACGUAGGCGGCUUUUUAAGUCGGAUGUGAAAUCCCUGAGCUUAACUUAGGAAUUGCAUUCGAUACUGGGAAGCUAGAGUAUGGGAGAGGAUGGUAGAAUUCCAGGUGUAGCGGUGAAAUGCGUAGAGAUCUGGAGGAAUACCGAUGGCGAAGGCAGCCAUCUGGCCUAAUACUGACGCUGAGGUACGAAAGCAUGGGGAG